UCAUCUUUCUAUAACCCAAAGCGUCUGCUUCAAACUAAGAAAAAGAUGUUGCGUUUUUGUUGAUGUUUUUUAGUUUAAAGCUGAUGCUUAGGGUUAUAGAAAGAUGAAU